rnacentral:lncRNA from 1 species
AGCGUGGGCCGGAGCCUGAGGCGAGAGCGCGAGGUCCCGGGCUCUGCCUCAGGAAAGGAGGCCUGAGGUGGAAAACGACACUGGGGCUCUCGAGAGCCUCGGCUGGCCGUGCCCAGGCGCCCCUCGAACCCACCCGAGGACGCGGGCGUCACAGGCUGAGGAGAAAGUGGGAACCCCUCGGUGUCCCGGUGCCCCUUUCUCAGGGUGGCUUCUGGCGCGGCACGGGGCCUCGCUGCGCGUUUGCCGCCGCCCUCAGGGAGGCGUUUUCUCCAGCAGGAGCAGCCCCCCAGGCGGGACUCGAACCCCGACUGCCAUCGCGAGCCACCCCCGCGGCAGGCGUGGGCCUUCUCGUCAAGGCCCGGCCACCUCACUCUCGAGGCGGGAAGGAGCCGCACGACGGCCGCCUCCGGAUGCAACGGUCCCCGGGACGCGCUCCAUGGCCCCGCCUCCACCCCCCGCGCCAACUCGGAAAACGCUCGGGAAGAAUCCCGGGGGCCUCGGGGACCGGGACCAGGACCAGGCGCCGGACGCUGAUGGGAAGGAGGGGACACCCGGAGUUAGGGACAAAGUCACGAGGCCACUCGCAGAGCCCUCGCGCGCGUGUUCAUCGACUGCCCCCUGGGCGGUGACCUUAUUCAGCAAGACCUGAGCUCAGGGGCGGGGUGACAUCUAACUGGAGUCAUCAUGAUGGAGCCACGUGGUCCAACAGUGCCCGGUCCUUGUAACCAGGAGGGCCCGCAGUGUCACCACUUCCUCGAAGUGAGGCCACUGCCCUCAGCUUCUUGGAGACAGCAGAUAUGAGCAGAAACCCCCAAAAGUCAGGAGCAAAUUUGUUUCAGAAUCUCUCCAAAUCUGUGGCUUAAAACAAGUUCAGAGGGAUUUUGGUGCACAGCUACAGACUGAGCUGGUUUACUGCACAUUUAUAAAUGGAAAUCUUUAUUUCUUUUCCUCUCUAUGUUUUUAAGAAAUCCUGUUGCAAGGUCAUUAAUCACGUUAUCCAUUAUACCACAAACAAAUGGAUUUGUCACUUGUGCGCAGAAGCCGAGGUUGAUUCUGAAAGCAAAUUGUACCAAAAUAAAUGAAAUUAUUAUGAUAAUAUAAACUAGACUGCAGUGAUUAAUCUCUAGAAACCAAAUUCUGACCUGCUUUGCACUUCAAACAAUAGCUUCUAUUAUGUAAAUAGUUGUGGGGUUUUCAAGGACAUUAUUGCUAAAUUAUAAGAAAAGUUCUAUUCUUGAAAAUCUCUUCGUGGAUAAAAAUGAGAGACAGGAACCUGGUCUGCAAGGUAUCCAAAGCAGAGGACAAUGGAAGUAAUGAUGGUUCAGUGUUCUUUAUUCACUCAAUCUGUAUCAUGAGACUUCGGGAAAACCUGGUGGAUUAAAUACCCUCCUGCAACCUCACUGAAAGUGGCAGAAAAGGGAUUAAAAUGGAUAUGAGCUGCAAGGAUAAAGAGAACUGCAAAGGAGAAGAGAACAAUAACACCUUAGAACAAUAAAAUCUCAGAACUGGAAAGCAAAUGGACGAGCUGAAAUUGUCUUAGGAGAUGAGAGAAAUAAAAACUGGACAUUGAAGAGAGGCCCCAGUC